rnacentral:miRNA from 1 species
UGGAUUCCUGUAAGCAUGAACU